rnacentral:rRNA from 1 species
GGGGAGCUUGCUCCUCCGGAUUAGUGGCGAACGGGUGAGUAAUACGUGAGCAAUGUGCCCUUGACUCUGGGAUAAGCGCUGGAAACGGCGUCUAAUACCGGAUACGACCAUCGGAGGCAUCUCCUGGUGGUGGAAAGAACUUCGGUCAAGGAUCAGCUCACGGCCUAUCAGCUUGUUGGUGAGGUAACGGCUCACCAAGGCGACGACGGGUAGCCGGCCUGAGAGGGUGACCGGCCACACUGGGACUGAGACACGGCCCAGACUCCUACGGGAGGCAGCAGUGGGGAAUAUUGCACAAUGGGCGCAAGCCUGAUGCAGCAACGCCGCGUGAGGGACGAAGGCCUUCGGGUUGUAAACCUCUUUUAGCAGGGAAGAAGCGAGAGUGACGGUACCUGCAGAAAAAGCACCGGCUAACUACGUGCCAGCAGCCGCGGUAAUACGUAGGGUGCAAGCGUUGUCCGGAAUUAUUGGGCGUAAAGAGCUCGUAGGCGGUCUGUCGCGUCUGCUGUGAAAACCCGAGGCUCAACCUCGGGCUUGCAGUGGGUACGGGCAGACUAGAGUGCGGUAGGGGAGAUUGGAAUUCCUGGUGUAGCGGUGGAAUGCGCAGAUAUCAGGAGGAACACCGAUGGCGAAGGCAGAUCUCUGGGCCGUAACUGACGCUGAGGAGCGAAAGCAUGGGGAGCAAACAGGCUUAGAUACCCUGGUAGUCCAUGCCGUAAACGUUGGGAACUA